UACUCCCGCCGGCGACCGGCGCACGGGUGAGUAACACGUAUGAAACCUGCCCGUAGCGAGGGGAUAAGCGGAAGAAAUUCCGUCUAAUACCGCGUAACAACCCGAGGAGGCAUCUCCUCGGGUUUAAAGGAAGCGAUUCCGGCUACGGAUGGUCAUGCGUCGCAUUAGCUAGUUGGCGGGGUAACGGCCCACCAAGGCGACGAUGCGUAGGGGUUCUGAGAGGAAGGUCCCCCACACUGGUACUGAGACACGGACCAGACUCCUACGGAAGGCAGCAG
rnacentral:rRNA from 1 species